rnacentral:tRNA from 1 species
GCGGGUGUAGCUCAAUGGCAGAGCUCCAGCCUUCCAAGCUGGCGAUGCGGGUUCGAUUCCCGUCACCCGCUCGA